GUCCACGAGAAAUCACCAAGAAGGCUUAAUUGACUGCUGAGGAAAGUAGAAAAUAUGACUCUGGAGUUUCCAAAAAGGCAGAUAAGGAUGUAUCAUGAGGUAAUUAGGUACUAAUGAAAAAGAGAACAGAGAUUUAAUAUCAUCAUAUCUGACAUUGGGAAAGUUGCCUGAUAGAAGAGAGCCAGAUGCGGAAAAAACCUUGAGGUUGCAUUUUGUGAUCUGUGCAGAAAGUUGGGUGCUUUGAAAAUUCUUUAAAGAAAUUCUCCAAGCAAAGGAGGAUUCAGAGUAAGCCUCAAGUGUCACUUGCAAAGCCACAAGAAGGAACCUCAAGGGAGAGCCUGUUUGCCAGCUUCAUUUCUAGCUACCCUAGAUACUUCUGUUUGCCCGGGGAGAUUGUCUUUCACAGCUCUGUGUGGCUUGGCACAGUUAUAUUUCAUAUUUAAAUUGCUACAUACAAACACUGAACCAGAGUUGGAGGAGUGUGCAAGAAGAGACAGAAUUUUGUUUCCUCCACUUCUAUCCUCACUUGGCACAGGCAUAAAUACACUGGGAAAAGAAGAAGCAAGACCAAAAGGUGCUCUGCCAGCUCCUCCUCUGUCUUGGGGUCAUUGUGCUGUGCUGGCUGUGACAUUUAGGGCUCAGCUCCAUCACUUGGCUCCAGAGGAGCAUCUUCAAGGGAAGUGUGGGCAUGAUGACAUCCAUCCUUCAUGUGCUGCCAGAAUUAAACCUGUCCAUAAAACAGAUGGGGAGACACAGUGAACCAUUUUCAAGGAUGGCAGCGUUCCUGUGGUAAAUUAAUGCCCAAGCCAAACUGCCUUCCUUUAAGGACUCUACAACUCCUGUUUUCUGGCCAUUAAAUAUAUACAAUGUCUUUAAAUGCCUCAAUAUAG